rnacentral:rRNA from 1 species
AGCAGUGGGGAAUUUUGGACAAUGGGCGGAAGCCUGAUCCAGCCAUGCCGCGUGAGUGAAGAAGGCCUUCGGGUUGUAAAGCUCUUUCGGCGGGGAAGAAAUUGCUUGGGUUAAUACCCUGAGUAGAUGACGGUACCCGAAUAAGAAGCACCGGCUAACUACGUGCCAGCAGCCGCGGUAAUACGUAGGGUGCGAGCGUUAAUCGGAAUUACUGGGCGUAAAGCGUGCGCAGGCGGUUUUGUAAGUCAGAUGUGAAAUCCCCGGGCUCAACCUGGGAACUGCAUUUGAGACUGCAAGACUGGAGUUUGGCAGAGGGGGGUGGAAUUCCACGUGUAGCAGUGAAAUGCGUAGAGAUGUGGAGGAACACCGAUGGCGAAGGCAGCCCCCUGGGCCAAUACUGACGCUCAUGCACGAAAGCGUGGGGAGCAAACAGGAUUAGAUACCCUGGUAGUCCACGCCCUAAACGAUGUCAACUAGGUGUUGGGAGGGUUAAACCUUUUAGUGCCGUAGCUAACGCGUGAAGU